GCUGACAACUCUUCAAUCUUCUUGAGAUAAUCAAGCUCCCUACCUCUGAGCUCCUCAGCUUCUUGAACAAUGCUCAACAGUUUGGUUUCUUUGUCAACCAAGCUCAUAUUCGCUGCUGACAACUCUUCAAUCUUCUUUAGGUAAUCAAGCUCCCUCCCUUUGAGCUCAUCAGCUUCUUCAACAAUGCUCAACAGUUUGGUUUCUUUGUCAACCAAGCUUACAUUCGCUGCUGACAACUCUUCAAUCUUCUUGAGGUAAUCAAGCUCCCUCCCUUUGAGCUCAUCAGCUUCUUCAACAAUGCUCAACAGUUUGGUUUCUUUGUCAGUCAAGCUCACAUUCUCUGCUGACAACUCUUCAAUCUUCUUGAGAUACUCAAGCUCCCUCUCUCUGAGCUCCUCAGCUU
rnacentral:lncRNA from 1 species